GUCGUAAGAAUGUUUGGUUUAAGUCCCCGCAACGAGGCGCAACCUUUUUUUUCGGUGCCCAGCAUUUGUUGGGGCAUUCGGGCGAGACUGCCGGUGACAAACCGGAGAAAGGUGGGGAUGACGUCAAAUCAUCAUGCCCCUUAUGCCUGGGGCGACACACGUGCUACAAUGGGCGGGACAAAGGGUCGCGAUCUCGCGAGGGUGAGCUAACUCCAAAAACCCGUCCUCAGUUCGGAUUGCAGGCUGCAACUCGCCUACUACAAACCGCUGCGAACCCGCGAGGGGGAGCCAAUCGGAAAAAGCCGGCCUCAGUUCGGAUUGGAGUCUGCAACUCGACUCCAUGAAGCUGGAAUCGCUAGUAAUCGCAGAUCAGAAUGCUGCGGUGAAUACGUUCCCGGGUCUUG
rnacentral:rRNA from 1 species